ensembl:ncRNA ZK1290.20 ncRNA
CUUUCUCCUUUAAUGACUGCGCCGCGGCGCCGUAUUCCAAAACUGAUUAUCCAUGUUCGUUUGAGGGGGGAGUAGAUAAGAAAGGAAAGGGAGACAGCGAGCGGAGGAAAACUUGGUAACAACAGCU